UAUUUUUUAAUAUAUCCAAAUUAUCCUUUUGAAAAGUGCCAUAGACGGAGCAUGAAGAAAAGCGGAAGAGAAAGUGAGAGAAAAUGGCAAAGCAGCUACUGGAGAGUGCUUAAGGAGGAGGGACGAGUGGAGGAAGCACCCUAGGCUCACCAAUCAGCUCCGCCAUGCCCUUCCUGGUUUUGGCCUCAGAGUCGCUGCCUUAGGCGUCUACCUAGACGGUGAGCAGAAUUCGAAGCGGUUAUUAAAAUUUUCCUUUUUCCACAUUUUCUCAGCAACCAAACGUACCAUCUAAAGAUUGAAUUCAUCAAAACCAUCAUCGAUUUUUGGUGCAAACUUUGAAUUCGAAUCUUCGAGACCGAAAAUGAUGCUGAAUCUUGGAAAAUCUCUCAUUGAGCAAUGAGUUACAGAAGGUAAUCUUUAUAUUUGGUAAGAUUUGCAUUUCAAGCAGUUUUUUUAGUUUAUAUAUUUUUCGUGAUCACAGUUCAAUAGUCAAUCAGUCAUCGCCUUUCAUGUUUAAUGCUGUAUAUAUAUAUAUAUAUAUAUAUAGAAAUAUAUAUUCUGAAUUUGCUGAAACUAUUGCAGUUGUAUCUUAUUGGUUUUCUUUGCAUUUGAAUUUAUGGUUUGCUUCAGUGAAUUUCGAUGAAAAUAAUCUUUUAUGUUACACAAUGUACGAGCUUGAACUUUACAAUUUGGCCAAUACUUAAAUCUUGGUUAAUUAAUAACCCAUAAGCAGGUAAAAAAUGCAUCUAUGAAUUGCUUUGUCGGAUAGUCUAUUCUAUGAAUUUACAUGACAUCCAUCAGUAAUUUUUAAAAAUUGAGACUAAUCUGGGCUUAAGAAUUAUUAAACAUUAUGUUUAAUUUCUGGUUUUGGAAGAUAAUUGUUUUCACUAGAUGUUAGGGAUAAGAAGCACCCAGUUAUCUUAGACUUCUUAGUGAGAUAAGGACCACUAAGGAUAUGGUUUCUAUGAGCAUUGUCACACAAAGGAAGGUCAUCCCAAUUAUAUGAUAUCGUCUUUCGUCAGCUUCUCACAUUUCCCUUAUCCCUUUUGUUUCUUCCUCCAAAACAUGGUAUUCUUCAUUCAAGAAAAAGGAUUAAACAAUGCCCUUGUUUGUUACCAUGAAAUGUUAAUAUUAAAUUUAUGAUAAAUUUUGCUAUAUAUAAUUAUAUAAUCUGGCUUUUGGUUGUAGUUUUUCCUGUUAUUUUAAAUCCCUUUUCACUGGUUCACCCAAUUCCACUCUUUGUUAGUCUUAAAAGGCAAUGUACCCGGGUGGUUAUACUACAGAAGUUACAAGCUUAUCUCCAAAAGCAACAAAAAAGGAUAUUUAUGAUUUUUUUCACUUAUUGUGGUGUAACUGAGGAUGUUGAAAUCAUCAGGUAGAGUCCUUCUGCACAACUUCUGAUUACUAAUUAUGAUUCCUUUUCCUCGAGUGAAAUCUGCAAAAUGAUGGUUUGGUCAUUGAUUAUAUAUGAAUUUAUUGUUCAUAAACUCAUCAAAUUGUUUGGAUGUUAUUUGGUUUGAAAGUGGUCAAAAUAUAAGAAUCUUUUCUGGAAUUUAUAUUACAAUUAUUUAAUUUCCUUUUUUUCUUUUGUCAUUUUAAAUAUCCAUAUGUCAAUUAGUCCAUUUGAGUGUCUUGUAAAAGCUAAUUUAUUCCAUAAGACCCCUGCUUUAAUGGAUUUCUAAAGGUAUAUGUGGAGAAUAUAAAAUAUUUUUCUAUAUGUGGAGAAUAUAAGAUAUUUUUCUUUCCAUCAUUUGGUCAAGAGGCUAAAGCUAAUAUUACUGAGAAGUUCAUAUUUUAAAAUGAGAUUGAAAUGUAAACAUAAUAGAAAUUUUAACUUUUUCAUGAAAGCAUGUUAGGAAUUGUCUUCUCUUUCUUUAUCCUUUUUUUUUUCAAUAAAAUUCAAACUCCAAGCAUGGCAAUAAGUUGGGAAAUUGUUUCAUUAUUCAAUAUUAAUGUGAUGGUUAAUUAUCCUCCUAACGAACAAUAACUUCCUCAAGACAGUUUAUUUCCACAUGUAAUUAUCAAUGUCAGACUAAGAAGACAAGAUCAAAAUUUGAAUCUUAUCUGUAUAAAAGCUGAAACUUCAUGGAGAAAUUUCCAAAUUAUCAUUGCUUUCCUUUGCCACCUUUGUCCCAAAAAAAAAAAAAAAAAAAAAAAAGAAGCACACUUGAAUGCCUUCUGUUAUAUAGAUUCUACAAUUUUAUGUCCUCAUAAAUUACGUGCUGUAGAAACGAUUCCAGAUUAUGAUCCAUGUAGGGAGGUAACUAUACAUCCAGUGCCAUAUUUCCUUUCAAAUUCUUAUUAACACAAAAGGGUCCUCUCUGUCCCAAUAUAAUUUUAGAAGACCUUUUAUUUGUUUGUUUCUCUUUACAGGUUAGAUUCAAUUGAGUGGUUAUUUUUAGCCUUUUCUAACUUGCUACUCUGCACAUGUGCAUAAAUUGUAUGUUGGUAUAAUUGAGUUAUUGGUUUGCUGGAAAUAAGUGUGGUGAGUAUGCCUAUACUGCAUAUGUGACAUUCAAAGAUGCUUAUGCUCUGGAAACCGCUGUCUUGCUUAGUAUAUCUUGUUGUUUACACUCGUCUAAAAUGAGUACUCAUCUACAUGAACCAAGAAAAUAAAAUUGUGAGGGUAUAACUGAACAGUCAGUCCCCUUGCCUUUCCUCUCAUUCAUUUUUGUACAAUGGAGUAGAAAAUAAACAAAGAAUUUUUGGUUUUUUAGUUCUAGUCUAUUUUCCACUUUUUCUUCUUCUUUUUUUUUUUUUUUUUCAUGUUCUUUUAUACCAGUGCUUGCAAAUGAAAUCCAUUUAUUGAUGACUGAUGAUUUACGGAUUUCUCAUAGUAAUCCCACUUCAAAGGUUUCGAGCCUAUAGUAUAACAAAGUUUAGUUUUCAUUAGGUGUCAAUAUUCCCCUUGAAUUGAAUUGUUGAACUGUUAAGUAUUUUUAACAUCAACUUUUUAAUUUGACGAGACUGCUAUUGAUUGGAGAUAUGGUGGAUCAAUUGAUUAGCUUUCUCUUUCCUUAAUUCCUUGUAAUGAUAUGCUGGGGUGCAACCAUUGUAGAUCAGUGAGUAUGCAUAACACAUUAGGGAAUAUAAACAGAUGAAGAUGAUUGUUGGAAUAGUAGUCCAUGGAACCAUGAGGGCAAUAGUGGUUCAUUGGUAACAAAUCAAUAGAAAUAAUUUCCAUUGGAUGGGAAAGAUGGGUGCAUCACUUCACAAGUCUUCGAGAGGACAGGCAAUAAGGUUAAAACCUCCAUACCUUAUGGUAAAAUCUGUUUUCAAUAUCCUUUUAUUUUGGUUUUAUCUUGUGUAUACACUUAUUUAUAUGGUGAAAACUAGACACUGACUUUUGUAGCUUGAGCAUCUAUGUUUCAUUCUAAUAUAAAGAGAAGUCUACCUCUUAUUUCCUACAUGUACUUUUCAAUUAUUUUCUGUUUCUCUUGAUUAUUUAUUAGCAUGCAUUUCUUCCUCCAUAUUCGAAGUACAAUUUGUUUGUAUGUUAUGUCCUGUGUCCACUAUCUUCUUAGUGUUUACUCGUUGAAAUUUAUCUUUUAAGCAUAUCUUAGUUAUGUAGCCCUUGUUUGGGAUGUUUGGAUAUGGAGGACCUAUUGCAUCUAUGCAUCUAGGAAGGCAUGCGCUUGUUUCUUCGAAGACAAAGAAUUCCAAGAAAGUAUACAUGUUACAUCUUGAGAGAGAAGCCUUACUCAGUAGUUCUGACACUGAACAUACUUGGACGAUAGUUAAGUUGCAUACUAGUUUCUUGAUCUGUCAGAGGGCCAUAUUUUUUAAUGCUUUUAUAUGAUUUCUCUUACAUCUUUGCAAUAGAACCACCCAAUGGUUUUCAAUCUCUUGUAUUAAUGGACAAUUUCAUUUCCAUUUUAGACUGAUGGUGGUAUCAAAAAUCCCUCAGAAGAUGAAAUUAGGGACACACCCCAUGGAGAACUACUCUGUUUCUAUUAUUUUUACUUUUGGCAUGGUCAAGUCUUUUCAAUCCUUGAUAUUGCAAUGUGCAGCUUAGAAGGAACUAAUUUUUAGUCAUUUUACUUCAUCAAUUAAUUCUUCAAAUCAUAAAGGUCAGUUCGUAGAAUUGGAUGCUUAGAAAACUGUCUUAUUCCAUGGCGGGCGGGGCAACAUCUGUUGUUUAUAUAUUGAUGGUGGAUUCACCAAGAAAAUGAAAAUAGUUUUUAGCAAUUUUAUAGUUGUUGGUAGAGGAAUGUUCUGUUGGCGGCAGAGAAUUUUUGGUUCUUGUCAGAGCUUUAUAUACAGCAAGUGGAAAAAAUCAUCUUGUAAUAUUCUUUAGUUUUUAUUCAUAAAAUACUUGUACAUUUUUCUCUUACUAAUUCAGAUUUAGUUUUUAGUUUUCUA